rnacentral:misc_RNA from 1 species
GAUAAUUGUCCUUGGAGUGAGUGGUACUCUGCUGAAGACCCAUUAAGAGGGUUUGAGCUGCUUACAGUAUGGUCAGAGAAAGCGAUAGAGAGUUCACUUGAAAUGGCUGAGAUGGAAAAUGUGUCACCUCUUGAGGCUGAGAAGUGGUUAAUAACUCCAUGUUUUUCUGAGAUUCUAAGUGAUGGUUCUGGCAGAAAGAGAAUUGGAUUCGCAUCACAGUUGCUGCUCUUAAUUGACGCUUUUCAUAUGUCACUGGAUGCUAAAUUUGUGGAAGAUUUUAUUUCAGUAGAGAACUCAGGACCUGAGAAUUUGAAGUCUAC